UUCGUAAUCAGCCUCUUCUGUGGGUGCUAUCAAUUGGAUUUGAGAUGAUGGAGCUUACCUUCCGUCACAUGCUACCAAAUUUUAAUGAAUGCUGGUGGGACAGUAUUGUUCUUGAUAUUUUGAUCUGCAACUGGUUUGGUAUCUACGCAGGAAUGCAUACUGUUAGGUACUUAGAUGGAAAAACGUACAAGUGGGUUGGGAUAAGCCGUCAGCCUAAUAUUAUUGGAAAAGUAUGCUCUAAGUUUGGUGUUUUAGUUUUGAAUAUUUAAUGGAGAGUUAAUAUUAUUGGAAAAGUAUGCUCUGAUUUUGGUGUUUUAGUUUUGAAUAUUUAAUGGAGAGUUACUAAGUUGUAGCAAGAAGUUGAAAAUUGGAUCAUAUUGUUUGGAGUAGAAAUACAUGUGUUUUAGUGUUUUUUUUUUCCUGUAAACAGAAAAUCAUGGAUUCCCUGUACUUUUUAGCUUAAGAAAUUUUCUUGUCAUGUCUCAUUUUUUGUUUCUUGUGAACCUUUGUUAUUGACACCGAGUUAGAUGCAUUUUUUACUGACUCAGGUCAAAAGAACACUAGAAUUAAGGCACAGUAUUUAAGUUUAGACAAUGUUACAAAGAACUUGAGAAAGUUCUAUGCACAAGCUUACUUGGGACAAUCACCAAAACAAGCUCCAAAGUAUUGGCUUCAUUUUCAAGUUUCUGUACUAUCGCUUGGUUGGAAUACUUACUUUGUCUCAAAGGCAUAUAGUAUAGGUAAUUGAGUUCAAACUUGCUAGUCAAAUUAUAUUGAACAUAUAGUUGAUUCUUAUGAAGCUCACCAUUAAGAUACAAUAUCAUACAGUAUGCAUAAAGAGGCAUUAAUUGUUUAAUUGCUCUGGUUUCUUUUUCAAACUAUUGCAGUAAAAUCCACAAAAUGAUACCAUUGAAGUUGGGCCUAGAGAUUUAAAGCUGACCUUUUCGUCUACCUCAGGACAACUAAAACAGAUGUACAAUUCUAAAACUGAGGUUGAAGAUUGCAUUCCCCAGUUUUAACCUGUUCCUGAAUUUUGGUUUUAGUCUCUCUAGCUCUUAAUUUCCAUCUCUCAGAACUAUAGUACUAAAUUUCUAAUUCAGAUUAUUUAGGAACCAGUUGAAAUGAUAGUAGAAUUCUUCUAUGGUGUAUAUUUCUAAUAUAACACAUAAAGGAAUAUAUAGAUUGCCAUGUUCUGUUUAUCCAAUUUAUUAGAAUUGUUUUGCUCUUUCCUCCUUUCAAGACAAUUUUCAAUAAGUUAAUGGCCUUUAUUAUAAUUAUUUAGUUAAUAUAUUUAUAUAUUUUAUAUAUGUUGAUCUAUAUUCAUGUGGAUAAGCAAACCAUGCUUGUUUGUGUCUCUCCUUGUUUGUUCAAUAAUGGCUGAUGUCUCUCUUUGAUGAAUGUGGUGCUAUUUGGAGAGACCAGUGAUAAGGAACACAUCUUGCUAUACCCUGCUGUUUCGUCAAGUUUUGGAGUUAUUACAAAUUUAAUUUAAACUUUAUAUGCUUACAGGU